rnacentral:lncRNA from 1 species
AUGAGAAACUCUAAAUCACCAUUUUGAUCAGCCGUUUACACACUACUCUCCUCUCUCAACAUUCCUUAACUACCUUAUCCUUUACAUCUAUCUUUCUACCCUAACCCCAAACUCAAAAACACAGACAUCAACAAAAAACAAAUUGCAGACAUAAUCCACUCCCCCUCUCUCUCUCUCGAUCCACACUUUAACCCCACAUCUGGUCCCUACUUCUCCUUCUCUGGCGAAAACCAGCAAAACCACUAGAGCCACCGGCCGGUUGCCGGUCAUUGGGUCUCCAGUGGUUCAACCCGUCGGCAUACAACCCCCCUCGACUUCUCGGUAAACCACACCUCAAAUCAUCAUCUUCCACCUGUUACACACAUACUGAGAUUAGAACGGACGAGCUUGAGUAGAGACAGAGAGAGAGAGAGAGAGAGAGAGAGAGAGAGAGAGAGAGAGAGAUCGGGAGAAGAGGGGAACGGCAAGGUCGCGUGCGGCGGCGGUAGCGGACGUCGGCGACGGCGAGGUGGUGAUGUUUUGUUCGAGUUGACGAGUAUUCCGAUUCAGGACGUGUAUCAAGUUCGGGUCAGAUUUGAUAAGUGCUCGAGUCAGAUUUGAUAAGUGCUCGAGUCAGAUUCAAGUCGUUUGGAGUCUCGGGUUUGGUCAACAGAAAUUCCGAGUCAGUUCGUAACGACAAACGAUGGUGAUAGAGAUGAUGACCGAUAAUGAUGAUGCGGACGUCGGCGACGGCGAGGUGGUGAUGUUUUGUUCGAGUUGACGAGUAUUCCGAUUCAGGACGUGUAUCAAGUUCGGGUCAGAUUUGAUAAGUGCUCGAGUCAGAUUUGAUAAGUGCUCGAGUCAGAUUCAAGUCGUUUGGAGUCUCGGGUUUGGUCAACAGAAAUUCCGAGUCAGUUCGUAACGACAAACGAUGGUGAUAGAGAUGAUGACCGAUAAUGAUGAUGGUGUGAACAUUAGUUGAUGAUGAAGUUCGAAUUUUCAAGUUUGUUUGGAUGUUCGUGUUAAAUACAAGUCAAACUCAGCCAACACCAGGUCGACUCAGUCAACGCCGGGUCAACUCAGUCAAACAGGUCAGCCGAGUCCACCCGGUCAACUCGGUCAAACCCGAGUUAACUCGGGUCAACAACUGGUCAAACUUUAGUUUCGGCCAGUUUCGGGUGUUACGGAUUCUGGUCAGCGGUUCGGGUCAACUAUAGUCAACUGGUCAGCCGCGGUUCGGGUGCGGUUCGACGAGCCAGAUUUUGGUUCAGUUCGACUUGGUCAGUCAACGGUCAAACUCGGUCAACUGAGGUCAAUCUCAGUCAACACGAGACGCGGUAAAGAUUUAAUUGACGCGAAAUUCUGAAAUUAUUGUUAUAGAUUGUAGAUU